CUCAGUUCCCAAGGGCUAGGAGGGCACCCGGCAUGCGGAGAAAAAGGCGAGCCCAUAACGUCCUAGGAUCAAGAUUAAAGGAUCUUUUUCUCUGCCCUUUUCUUCUCUUGGACCUUCAGGCACCCACUUGGAUCUCUUCCAGAUGUUCUUUCCUUUGUUACCUGUUCUAAAGCCUUUUAAAUUUCCACUCUUGCUCUGAAACUUGCCUCAGUCUCUUUUUUUCUGCUUUAUGCCUCUUGGACGAAUUUUUUUUUCUGAGGAGGGAAGAACUGAAGUUGCUGUGGACCUGUAUGGAUUAGCUGAUGGUUACUCGGGGUAAUUUGGAUCUCUUCCACCGAUAUCCCGUGACUAAGAAUGCUUAACCUUCUGGGAAUGCAGGCAGUAGGUGUCACUCAUUUUACCCAGCAGCUAUUCAAGAUGGAGUCACUCUUGUCUGAGCACCUCUGACAACAUGAACUAGAACUAAAAAGGAGCCACACGGAGACUCUUCAGCGUUACCUAAGAAAGUCAGUGUGAUGACCACAUUGGAGGCAUGAGCACUGAUAAUUCCUCUUCCAGGGUCAUUCCAAGAUUUAGAAAAAGCGAGGGAGACACUGACAGUGAGAUUGAAUGGCACUGCCACCACCAGAGGAAUAACUGGAAAAGGAAGCAGGAGGGCACUUGGGUACAAGGGAAAUGAUAAGAAAAGUAUAAAGCCACAGGAGCAGAAUGUUACCUCCUUUCUGUCCUCCUCUUUGUUCUUAUGGCCCAGUUGUCUUCCUCUUGACCCCGUCUUUGCAUUGCAUGGGAAAUAGUACAACUUUGAGUCAUCCCCACCUGGGCUAAGAUGUGAUAGCUGACAUUGACUAGAAGUACAACCUUGACUAUAUUAUGUAAUAUCUCUGAGCCCAUGAAUAAUGGGUAUGGUUGUCCCUGGAGUCUGGGAUAACUAGGACAAUGCCAGGCAUGUAGGUUCCAGCCAUAUAGACCAUUGAAUCUGAUGAAAGAUAUACCCCUACUGAAAUGCACUGAAUAUUUUUGAACACCUACCAUUUCUAAGAGGAUAUGAUUUGAAAGCCAGUAUAGGAAGAUUUGAUGCAAAUCUGAUUGUUGCAUGGGGCCUUGGAGAAUAUCCUGGAAAAGCAUAUACCUUUGAUCCUGGGUUAUGAUUUCAAUUAGAUUUUUCCUACUAUGUCAAAUGGUGAUAUAAAGUCAAAUAAAACAUUAUAACAU
rnacentral:lncRNA from 1 species